rnacentral:rRNA from 1 species
CCCCUAGUAACUGCGAGUGAAGCGGGAAAAGCUCAAAUUUAAAAUCUGGCGGUCUUUGGCCGUCCGAGUUGUAGUCUGGAGAAGUGCUUUCCGCGCUGGACCGUGUAUAAGUCUCUUGGAACAGAGCGUCAUAGAGGGUGAGAAUCCCGUCUUUGACACGGACUACCAGUGCUUUGUGAUGCGCUCUCAAAGAGUCGAGUUGUUUGGGAAUGCAGCUCAAAAUGGGUGGUGAAUUCCAUCUAAAGCUAAAUAUUGGCGAGAGACCGAUAGCGAACAAGUACCGUGAGGGAAAGAUGAAAAGCACUUUGGAAAGAGAGUUAAACAGUACGUGAAAUUGCUGAAAGGGAAACGCUUGAAGUCAGUCGCGUUAGCCGGAACUCAGCCUUGCUUUCGCUUGGUGCACUUUCCGGUUGACGGGCCAGCAUCGAUUUUGACCGUCGGAUAAGGGCUAGAGUAAUGUGGCACCUCCGGGUGUGUUAUAGACUCUGGUCGCACACGGCGGUUGGGAUCGAGGAACGCAGCGCGCCGUAAGGCAGGGGUUCGCCCACUUUCGCGCUUAGGAUGCUGGCAUAAUGGCUUUAAACGACCCGUCUUGAAACACGGACCAAGGAGUCUAACAUACCUGCGAGUGUUUGGGUGGAAAACCCGAGCGCGUAAUGAAAGUGAAAGUUGAGACCUCUGUCGUGGAGGGCAUCGACGCCCGGACCUGACGUUCUCUGACGGAUCCGCGGUAGAGCAUGUAUGUUGGGACCCGAAAGAUGGUGAACUAUGCCUGAAUAGGGUGAAGCCAGAGGAAACUCU